rnacentral:rRNA from 1 species
UACAGAGGUCUCAAGCGUUUGUUCGGAUUCAUUGGGCGUAAAGGGUGCGUAGGCGGCGCGGUAAGUCGGGUGUGAAAUCUCGGAGCUUAACUCCGAAACUGCAUUCGAUACUGCCGUGCUUGAGGACUGGAGAGGAGACUGGAAUUUACGGUGUAGCGGUGAAAUGCGUAGAUAUCGUAAGGAAGACCAGUGGCGAAGGCGGGUCUCCUGGACAGUUCCUGACGCUGAGGCACGAAGGCCAGGGGAGCAAACGGG